AAGAAUCAAAUAAUUGAAGUUUCUGUAUUUAUAUGAACAGCGACUUUCUACACAAAGCUGAUUUCACUCUGGUAUAUUUUAUUCCAGAUAGUAAUUUGGACAAGAAUUUCUGUUCACUUACAUUGUGAUCUUUAGCCAUGUGACCGCAUGGCACAACACCAUGUCAAAGACUAUCGUUUAGUUUUGUUUUGUUUUGUUUUUGUUUUUGUUUUUUGUAUUAUUGUCGGCCCGAUCCACAACAGAAAUUCUCUUCCGUCCUCAUCCCGGACCGGCCAGUCAUCGGGCUUGUCAGACAGGACAUGAUGCUGAAGUGCUUCGCCUACCUACUGUAGGAGAAAGUAGGGGGCGGCCCCUCCUUUUCAUCCCUUAAACACGUGAGGUGGUCGGGACGUCAGCGUGGUGUCGGGUGUCUGGGGUGGCUACACGUACCAUCCACCGCUGACCCUGAAGAAUUCAAAGCAUUGGUUGGAAAGUGAGCGGCGAGGGCAGACCUACGAGAUUGGAGGUGGGGUGGAGAUUUACUGUAACAUGAAUGGGUGGGAAUAGGAGGGUGGACUGGUUGUCUUCUAUCCUCGUGUGUAUAAGAGACGAACUUUCUACGCAACGCACACGAGAGGGAACAACGGCUACGAGAAACAAUAUUUGUUACAGCCAGUACUCACACGUCUUACACCAUCGUCCGGCUCGAUCGUUUUGAGUACACUCAUUAUUAUUUCUAGUGGUAAUAUAGAGGAAAGGGGCGUUAACUGUGGUGAGAGGACGAAACAAAUACCAAGUGCACUACCAAGUUCAGAGGGCCACGUGGUGGUGUUGAUGUCAACAGACCUUCCUACAACUAGUCCUAGGUCUAAGGUAUUGUACGAUCUACACAACACUUACAGUCGAAGGUGAGGAACAGGCUGACCGUUGACCUCAGCACGGAUCACAAAGACCUGACCACUGUCCAUGACCAAUAUGAGUCCUACUAACCCCACUUUAAAAACGAGCUGCAGUCCUAUGUCAGUGUCGUGCGGCGCUAGUCGUGCAGCACUUGUCGUACUGCUGCUGCUGGCGUUGCCGUCGAUGCUGGGGACGGAUGCGUACAAUACAUCCAGGUAUUGCUGCUACAACGGGGGCACAAUGUAUUUCAACUAUCAACGCUUUUUUACGUCCUGUCGAUGUAUUUGUGGGCGAGACUUUGUCGGGCACCGAUGUGAGUACCGCGCAGUUCCCGAGCGCAGCGCGUUUAGGGACUUGGCUAACUUUUUACGCAACGAAUACGAGAGGGAACAACUCCGACUAAACCAGACAAGACAGGCUGAUGAUGAGUCGGUUGAUGAGUCUGAAGAGCGGCCGGUAGAAGGUUAGAGGGGUCGUGAGAGAACACACCUCAGUCCGAAUUGUUGACAGCACAAGCCAGCAAAAUACGAAUAUCCUGGAGAAGUUCACAUGUUUUUGCCAACGACACCGAGCAGGCGGCAACGGCUUUGUUGACAUCAACUGUCGACAGUGAAUAAUAUUUACAACGGUGUCUGUGAUGAAGACAUGUUGAACUGAA